rnacentral:rRNA from 1 species
GACGAACGCUGGCGGCGUGCUUAACACAUGCAAGUCGAACGGAAAGGCCCUGCUUGUUUGGUGUUCUCGAGUGGCGAACGGGUGAGUAACACGUGAGUAACCUGCUCUACACUUUGGGAUAACUUCAGGUAACGGGGGCUAAUACCGUAUAGGAUCUCCUGCUGCAUGGAGGGGGUGGGAAAUUCUCGGCUGGUGGGGAUGAACUAGCGGCUUAUAAGCUUGUUGGUGGGGGAGUGGCUUACCAAGGCGUUGACGGGUAGACGGCCUGAGAGGGUGAGAGGCCACACUGGGACUGAGGUGAGGCAGAGACUCCUAAGGGAGGCAAAAGUGGGGAAUCUUGAACCAUGGGCGGCGGCCUGAUGAAGAAACGCCGCGUGUGGGAUGGCGCCCUUCGGGUUGUAAAAAGGUAUCGCCUGUGAAGACGCGUGAGUGGCGGUAAUGGGUAGAGAAGGAACGGCUAAAUACGUG